rnacentral:rRNA from 1 species
AAUCAACGCUGGCGGCGUGCCUAACACAUGCAAGUCGAACGCGAAAGCCCCGCAAGGGGUAAGUAGAGUGGCAAACGGGUGAGUAACACGUGGGUGACCUGCCUUCGAGUGGGGGAUAACGUCCCGAAAGGGACGCUAAUACCGCAUGACAUCCUGCUUUUGAAAAAGCGGAGAUCAAAGCUGGGGAUCGCAAGACCUAGCGCUUGAAGAGGGGCCCGCGCCUGAUUAGCUAGUUGGUGAGGUAACGGCUCACCAAGGCGACGAUCAGUAUCCGGCCUGAGAGGGCGGACGGACACACUGGGACUGAGGCACGGCCCAGACGCCUACGGGAGGCAGCAGUGGGGAAUUGUUCGCAAUGGGCGCAAGCCUGACGACGCAACGCCGCGUGGAGGACGAAGAUCUUCGGGUCGUAAACUCCUGUCGAGCGGGACGAACGCUUCGCGGAUGAAUAAUCCGCGGAAUUGACGGUACCGCUAAAGGAAGCCCCGGCUAACUCCGUG